rnacentral:sRNA from 1 species
ACUGUGAGCAGGACCUGGCCAGCCUCCUGGAGAAUAUGCCAACACCCUUCUCGGAGGCUCAGGUCAAGUGCAUUGUGCUGCAGGUGCUCCGGGGCCUCCAGUAUCUGCACAGGAACUUCAUUAUCCACAGGGACCUGAAGGUUUCCAACUUGCUCAUGACCGACAAGGGCUGUGUGAAGACAGCGGAUUUCGGCCUGGCCCGGGCCUAUGGUGUCCCAGUAAAGCCAAUGACCCCCAAGGUGGUCACUCUCUGGUACCGAGCCCCUGAACUGCUGUUGGGAACCACCACGCAGACCACCAGCAUCGACAUGUGGUGAGGAGAUACGGUUACCGCUCCUGGGGCCUCAGGAAGGGCUGGGACAGGAGCCGGGUCACCUGGUUCCUGAGCUCAGCCUCAGGGGAGGGGCAGGAGUGCAGUGGGGUCUUUGCCAGCCUCCCACUCCCAGGGAGGUGGGCCUGAGCCUGGAAACCCAGGAGGAGGUGUGAGAACUUAGCUUGCUGUUCUCAGGCUGGGAGCACAGAGGUCUGGAGGAGG